GAGAGACACGGAGAGACGACAGAGACACGCAGAGACGACAGAGACACGGACAGACGACAGAGACACGGAGAGACGACAGAGACACGGAGAGACGACAGAGACACGGACAGACGACAGAGACACGGACAGACGACAGAGACACGGAGAGACGACAGAGACACGGACAGACGACAGAGACACGCAGAGACGACAGAGACACGCAGAGACGACAGAGACACGGAGAGACGACAGAGACACGGACAGACGACAGAGACACGCAGAGACGACAGAGACACGGACAGACGACAGAGACACGCAGAGACGACAGAGACACGCAGAGACGACAGAGACACGGACAGACGACAGAGACACGCAGAGACGACAGAGACACGCAGAGACGACAGAGACACGCAGAGACGACAGAGACACGCAGAGACGACAGAGACACGGACAGACGACAGAGACACGGACAGACGACAGAGACACGGACAGACAGCAUUGAUUCUCAGACGCCAAAGGCGUCACCAGUGGAUCUUCUUUAGCGUGAGCUUCACAUUUCAACUGUUCCACCGUCUUUCGAGCAUCAGCAAUCUUUGCCAUGUUGUUGGACAUCACUGUCUGUGGUCAGCCUGAGGGCAAAGGUCAGA